rnacentral:lncRNA from 1 species
CCCUGGCCUCUUCUUCUUCUCCCUCUUUCUUGCAUUAUUAGUUUUUGUAGGUUGCCAUUAUUUACGCUUUUCAGUUACAUCUUUUCAUGUGUAAUGUUAGAUGAUUGUAUCGAUAAAUCAUUUAGUCUCGACAUGAAGAUAGAGUCUCCCACAUGCUCCACAAAACCAUGAAGCUACAUGAUCGAUGGAAAAGACAUGUAUAUUACUUCCCUCUGAAAUUAACCAUGUAAAAGUUUGUUCCUUCAUUUAAACUAGUUAGACAAAUGUAAUGCACAUACAAAAUACAUAAAUAUGAAUAUAGAAAUGAUCACU